UAACCUACUACGACACUACGUCCUCCACUCCCACAGACUUAUUCUUCUACUUUGCUUUCUCUCUCUUUUAUCUCUGUUUUUAGGGUUUGAGCUUUUGUGCCGAAGAGCAAGCGAAGCCACAGCUUGAUCUAAUUCAUAUAUUUUGCUGCUGCUUCAAUAAUGUCGGACGAGUUGGAGUACCGUUGUUUUAUUGGUGGCCUGUCAUGGUCAACUUCUGAUAAAGGUUUAAAAGAUGCAUUUGAUAAGUUUGGAAAACUUGUUGAGGCCAAGGUAGUUGUUGAUAAGUUCUCUGGACGAUCUCGUGGAUUUGGAUUUGUCACUUUUGAUGACAAGCAAGCAAUGGAAGAGGCAAUUGAAGCAAUGAAUGGAAUUGAUUUGGAUGGACGGACUAUUACUGUUGACAAGGCUCAACCUCACCAAGGUUCUAGAGAUUAUGAUGGUGACCGUAGCCGUGAUCGUGGUUGGGACCGCGAUCGUAAUCGUGAUUCUGGUCGUGGGUCUAAUGGUGGGGAGUGCUUUAAGUGUGGCAAGCCAGGGCAUUUUGCCCGGGAAUGUCCUAGUGAAGGUGGAAGGGGUGGAGGAAAGUAUGGUGGUAGAGAUGAUAGGUAUGGUGGAGGUGGUGGAGGGGGUGGUGGUCGUUAUGGUCCUGACCGAAAUGGAGACCGAUUUAGUGGGCGCAGAGAUGGUGGCAGUCGUGGCGGUCCAGGAUCUGAUCGAUUUAAUCGUGACCGCUCUGGACCAUAUGAUCGUCGGGCCUCAGGAGGUUUUCGUUCUGGAUGAUAUUUUCUUCUUAUGGUGCGUAGGAACCUGAGGUGUUGCUCAACUCGGUGGAGUUUAUGCUUAUUGGAUGUGAACUUGUGAUGUCUGGGUGGAUCAAUAUAUAAAUCAGUAUUUGAAAGUGCGAAACUUUGGCACGAAUGUUCAACUUUUUAAUUGUUCCUAGAAUGCUCAGUUUGAUGUUUUGGUCCGAAGUGAUCUUUAGAAGUAGAAUGCCCAUUUUGGCUACCCUGUUUUCAGUAUCUUACUAAUAAACAGGAGUCCAGCGGGAUGCUUGGCUAGUUAUGGUCUUUUUGGAUACAUGAUUGGGUUUCUUUGUUGCUAACUGGACAUGCAUGGUUUUAUAAUCUUAAUAAUUGUGAAAGUUUUUUCUGCUGCAACCAGCCAUCUGCAAUUUAACUGGACAUAAAUCACUCUACUGGUGGAAAAGUUCCAUUCUGCAUAAUCAUGUGGCAGGUGGUUUGGAAUCUCUUGAUGAGUUUAUGAACUGCUGCCCCUUUGUUUUUUCUUAUGGUUCUACGUUCCACAAUGCUUUUAGUCUUGCGGGGAAGAAUACCGUGCUAGCCUUGUUUACAUUACAUUUGAUUUCUUGGUUUCAUUUGUCAAGAUAAAAGGAUAUCUGUUUUCUACUUCUA